CUGAAGAGGGUUCUGUAUCAUCUGUAGAACAUGCAGAGUAUAGAGCAGACGAGAAUGAUGAUGAGUUUGUGAGUGCAAGUGAAUUCUCAAGGCAGACACCUGGUCAUCACAGUUCUCGAAGGCUCCGUUCCUGCUUCUAUGACAAUUAAGAAUAGAGUAGACUGUAGCUGCGGGAUGGCAGGAAAGCUUUUAACAAUAUUAGGUGAAGGAAAAGUGCCGGCGGGGUAUGUUAGUGCUGCUAAUAAUGUGUAAAAUUGUAUACAGUUCUUAAAUAAGCAUUAUCUGCUCAGAUUUAUUUCCUUUUUACUAUCUGUUCCCGUUUUCUCUCCCUUGUUUUCUGCAUUUCUGGAGAAGGAUUUGAUCUGUUGGCUUGCUGUUCAAUAAUCAUUUGUUUUUGUGACUGAAUAUUUUGUUGGGAGACUGCUCGGUUUUAGAUGUAUCAUAGAAACUUAUAUUGUUAUUCAAAGAGAUUGUCAUAGAAAUCAUGUAUUUGA